AGCAGCCGCGGUAAUUCCAGCUCCAAUAGCGUAUAUUAAAGUUGUUGCAGUUAAAAAGCUCGUAGUUGAAUUUCGGGAUCAAUAUAUCGGUCGUGCCUUGGUACGUACUGGUAUCAUUGGUUUCUCCUUUCUGACGAACCAUGAUGUCAUUAAUUUGGUGUUAUGGGAAGUCAGGACUGUUACUUUGAAAAAAUUAGAGUGUUUAAAGCAGGCUUUGGCUUGAAUACAUUAGCAUGGAAUAAUGAAAUAGGACGUUCGAACCUAUUUUGUUGGUUUCUAGGAUCAACGUAAUGAUUAAUAGGGAUAGUUGGGGGCAUUAGUAUUCAAUUGUCAGAGGUGAAAUUCUUGGAUUUAUUGAAGACUAACUACUGCGAAAGCAUUUGCCAAGGAUGUUUUCAUUAAUCAAGAACGAAAGUUAGGGGAUCGAAGACGAUCAGAUACCGUCGUAGUCUUAACCAUAAACUAUGCCGACUAGGGAUCGGAUGAUGUUAAUUUUUUAAUGACUCAUUCGGCGCCUUAC
rnacentral:misc_RNA from 1 species